rnacentral:misc_RNA from 1 species
AAAGUCGUAACAAGGUUUCCGUAGGUGAACCUGCGGAAGGAUCAUUAACGUAACCGGACUGGUACGUUCGCCGUAAAACGCAGCGGAUCGGAAAGGGAGAUAUCAUAACCCCCUAAUUAUUUUAACCCUUUGUCUUUUGGCGGGGCCCGUUCUUUUAGGCGUCGGCCCCGGCUGAUCGCGCCCGCCAGAGGACCCAAACUCUUUUAUUAGUGAUGUCUGAGUACUAUAUAAAUAGUUAAAA